UACGAAGGGGGCUAGCGUUGUUCGGAAUUACUGGGCGUAAAGCGCGCGCAGGUGGUUUCUCAAGUCAGUGGUGAAAGCCCGGAGCUCAACUCCGGAACUGCCAUUGAAACUGUGAAACUUGAGGACGAAGAGAGGUGGAGUGGAAAUUCCCAGUGUAGAGGUGAAAUUCGUAGAUAUUGGGAAGAACACCGGUGGCGAAGGCGGCUACACGUGGC
rnacentral:rRNA from 1 species